AACGCAAAUUGCGCUCCUUGGUAGCCCAGGGAGCAUGCCUGUCUGAGAACCUUUAACAUCUCGCAACCCCUGGGUUGUGGAGUUGGGCCGUCGGGUGCCUCGUCAUCCGUGGACCGAAAUGCAUCGGUCGCUUCGGCUUCUGUCGUUUCUACCCCGAAAGCGUAAUAGUGGGUCCAACCUUCGAGGCGCUGACAACGGGUGACUCUCCGACGGAUUCCGGGUGCGAUCUCAACACCCCACAGGAGCGGUCCCAGGAUCGUCUUCCAUCUCUGGGUCUCAGAUCAGGCAAGAUCACCCGCUGAACUUAA
rnacentral:misc_RNA from 1 species